UUCCUCCCGUGCGUCCUCCAUCCCUUUCUCCUUCCCGUACCCUAGCAUCCGCACAUCCCUCUCUUCUCCGUUCACCCAGUCGGCCACACAAGCUGCCGGUCGUUUCUUCUUCUUCUUUCCGGUCGUCUUCCUUUUCUCCUUCGGAUCGAAACCGUCGCGCCGUCGCUUGUGCUUCACCCUUGCAAUUCGCCAUAACCCAGAUCCGUCGCUGCAACCGUCGGCCGGUUCGUUAAGUGUCGUACGCGUCACCUUGCAGCAGUCGUCCAGAUCUGCGUCGCCGUGCCCAUUGCUUUCCUCUCCAUUCGUGAAGCCCUGCUGCGCAAUCUCUGUCUCCGUCGAAGCCAAGCCCAGCCGCCGCCCGUUCCUUUCUCCUCCGUUUUCUGCACUGCCACGUGACUCUCCGACCGCGUCUGUCUUCACCUUCGUGAAGCCGUCGACGCAUACAUCUCGUGAAGUCAUACACGGAUCCCAGUCGAUCUCUUCCUAAAUUACGUGUCCCCUAUCAAGUCGACGUUCUUGUGCUCGUUGUAAGACGGAGUUACGAUUUGAAGCCGAUUUUCUUUUCCAGUUGAGUCGCAUUCAGUGUUGCUCUAUUUACAGCCGCUUGAUUCGUUCUUGAUUGUCAUUUUUGCCUCGCCGUGAACCAUUGGGCUCAUAUUUGGGUACAUCUUGAUUCAGUGAGCGAAUCCUUGAUUUUCCAAAAGGUUGAAGUGGACUUGA